UGGGCUUGACAUGCACAGGAUUCCGGCAGAGAUGUCGGUUCCCUUGUGGCCUGUGUGCAGGUGGUGCAUGGCUGUCGUCAGCUCGUGUCGUGAGACGUUGGGUUAAGUCCCGCAACGAGCGCAACCCUUAUCCUAUGUUGCCAGCACGUGAUGGUGGGGACUCGUGGGAGACUGCCGGGGUCAACUCGGAGGAAGGUGGGGAUGACGUCCCAGUAUCGGAA
rnacentral:misc_RNA from 1 species